GAGUCAAAUCAGCUUUGUUAUUUUCCGUUUUUUCGACUGUUUUCCGAUACCUUGGAGACAUCAUGCCUCGUCGGUGUGUUGUCGGAGGGUGAAACAACACGAUCAGGGACAGAUUCAAGUUGAUUUACGUAGAAUGUGCAUCGAUUAGCACGGCAUGCUAAUCGAUGCUGACAUGCUAUUUAGGCUAGCUGUGUGUACAUAUUGCAGCAUUAUGCCUCAUUUGUAGCUAUAUUUACAUCUAGCCUUUCCCUCCAUCCACAUUUAAUGCCAAACAAACACUUAAUCAGCGGAUUCAAGUUGCUCCAGUGUCAAGAGAUGCAAAAGUGCCCCGUUUGGUUUUUACCGGCGAUGCUACGACAGAGAAGGCACAGACAUGGCAAAAAUUUCUGGAUAUCCCGCGACACUCAAAGCAGAUACAUUCCCAACGAUAAAGCCAACGAAAUCACAAAGUACCCUCCACCCCCGGGUGACUGACAGAGUGUGACAGGCAUCAUCCAUGAUGCUCACUAGUUUUUCCACAGUCCUCUUCUCUGCCACGGUCACCGGCAAGAGACUAUGCUCCAUCCAGACCCAAACCUCCCGCGACCUGAACAGUUUUUUACCCUCGGCCAUCAGGCACAUGAGCAAUCACAAGAUCUGAUAGCUCAGUUACAGCUGUUUUCAUGACUUUUUCUGUGUUAUGUGUUUUAUG